AUCAAAUUUAUAUAAAUAUUAAUUAUUUAUAUAUAUUAAAUAUAUAAAAGAAAUUAUAUUAAUUAAUGCGAAGUUGAAAUACAGUUACUGUAGGGGAACCUGCAGUGGGCUUGAUAAUUAUCUUUAAUAUUCUUCCAAUAAUAAUAUAAAAUAAUAAUAUAAAAUAUAUAUAUAUUAUAUAAAUAUUAUCAUAAUAU
rnacentral:rRNA from 1 species